rnacentral:rRNA from 1 species
AGGGAAUUUUCGGCAAUGGGGGAAACCCUGACCGAGCAACGCCGCGUGAGGGAUGAAGGCCUUCGGGUCGUAAACCUCUGUCUUUGGGGACGAUAAUGACGGUACCCGAGGAGGAAGCCCCGGCUAACUACGUGCCAGCAGCCGCGGUAAUACGUAGGGGGCGAGCGUUGUCCGGAAUUACUGGGCGUAAAGGGCGUGUAGGCGGCCUGUUAAGUCAGGCGUGAAAACCCCGGGCUUAACCUGGGGACUGCGUUUGAAACUGGCGGGCUUGAGGGCAGGAGAGGAAAGUGGAAUUCCCGGUGUAGCGGUGAUAUGCGUAGAUACCGGGAGGAACACCAGUGGCGAAGGCGGCUUUCUGGACUGCACCUGACGCUGAGGCGCGAAAGCCAGGGGAGCGAAC